UAGGGGUUUGAUUAUGGCUUCAGAGCGAACGCUGGCGGCACGCUUAACACAUGCAAAGUCGAACGAAGGCCCGGAGCUUGCUCCGGAUACCUUAGUGGCGGACGGGUGAGUAACGCGUGGGAAUCUACCUUACGAUGGGGAAUAACAGUUGGAAACGACUGCUAAUACCGCAUACGCCCUCCGGGGGAAAGGCUUCGGCCGUCGUUAGAGGAUCCCGCGUUCGAUUAGCUUGUUGGUAGGGUAAUGGCCUACCAAGGCUACGAUCGAUAGCUGGUCUGAGAGGAUGAUCAGCCACACUGGAACUGAGACACGGUCCAGACUCCUACGGGAGGCAGCAGUGGGAAUAUUGGACAAUGGGGGAAACCCUGAUCCAGCGAUGCCGCGUGAGUGAAGAAGGCCCUAGGGUUGUAAAACUCUCUCACCCGUGAAGAUGAUGACUGUAGCGGGAGAAGAAGCUCCGGCUAACUCCGUGCCAGCCGCCGCGGUAAUUCA
rnacentral:rRNA from 1 species